GAGAAGGGGGUGACAGAGGAUGAGAUGGUUGGAUGGCAUCACCAACUCAAUGGACAUGAGUUUGAGUAAACUCUGGGAGUUGGUGAUGGACAGGGAGGCCUGGCGUGCUGUGAUUCAUGGGGUCGCAAAGAGUCAGACACAACUGAGCGA